rnacentral:rRNA from 1 species
GAUGAACGCUGGCGGCGUGCCUAAUACAUGCAAGUCGAGCGAACGGACGAGAAGCUUGCUUUUCUGAUGUUAGCGGCGGACGGGUGAGUAACACGUUGAUCACCUACCUAUAAUACUGGGAUAACUUCGGGAAACCGGCGCUAAUACCGGAUAAUAUUUUGAACCGCAUGGUUCAAAAGUGAAAGACGGUCUUGCUGUCACUUAUAGAUGGAUCCGCGCUGCAUUAGCUAGUUGGUAAGGUAACGGCUUACCAAGGCAACGAUGCAUAUCCGACCUGAGAGGGGGAUAGGCCACACGGGAACGGAGACACGGUCAAGACGACUACGGGAGGCAGCAGUAGGGAAUGUGCCGCAAUGGGGGAAAGCCUGACGGAGCAACGGCGCGUGAGUGAUGAAGGUCUUCGGAUCGUAAAACUCUGUUAUUAGGGAAGAACAUAUGUGUAAGUAAAUGUGCACAAAGUGACGGUACCUAAACAGAAAGCCACGGCUAACUACGUG